UUCACAUAUUAAACUCACUUCUGGAUUACCAGCGAGACUGAUUAAUACCUCUGUUCAGUUAAGCAAAAAUGGCCGGAAGGAAAUUGAGUCCUUUAUUUUGUAAUAAGGGAGGGGUGUGAGAGCCUUUUGUCCAUUGUUAAUAAUCCAACAAAUCUGAUUGUUAUACAUCGUGUAGAUUUAUUUGGUUCGCAUGAUGGGCACAUUU
rnacentral:snoRNA from 1 species